rnacentral:tRNA from 1 species
CCUUUCUAAGGAUGAUCAAGAAUUGGAACCUUCAUAAAAUGGAGCUAUUCCUUUUUGAUCUAAUUAGACAUAAAGGUUUAAAUCAGUCAGUUUAAACAACCAGACAGUUUAAACCUUGUGCAUAUGAACACGCACUUUAAAAACGGUUUCUUUCUUUCAAAGAGGCCCCUACCUCUCAUGAAAGCGAGCCACUUUCAAGGUGCCGUGCUCAUGUGUUAAGAUAUAUAAGCAGACUAGCCGUCUUCGUUUCUCUUUCUUCAGAUGAUGAUCCCAAGCCUUCUGGCGAUCUACAAAAAACAAGCCUUGAAUUUAGGCUUUCAGAAAGCACUUUUGUUUUUAUAAAAUGAUGUGUUUUAUGAGAUUAUGCCGGGGAAGGUUUUCCGGUUUAUCCCGGAGGGCUUGUAGCUCAGUUGGUUAGAGCGCGCGCUUGAUAAGCGUGAGGUCGGAGGUUCAAGUCCUCCCAGGCCCACCAAUUACUCUAUUCAUUUUCUUUAUCUGUUCCUUUGAUUUUGUGUGCAGAUAACAGUUUUAUAAAGGAUUAUGGCGCUUAUCUCUUUCGCUUAAGUACUUCAAAGUUAACGCGGGCAAACGUAAAGCGAUGCAAAAUUGCUACAAAUUUUGCACUGUCUAUUUUAACAGUUUGGAAUCCUUUAUUCUGUUUUAGGGGCCGUAGCUCAGCUGGGAGAGCACCUGCUUUGCAAGCAGGGGGUCGUCGGUUCGAUCCCGUCCGGCUCCACCAUUCUAGAUCAUCAUCAUUGUUGUGAGAACAGUCUUUGUAAAAGGUUGAAUAGCCUUUUGCUUGUUCUAUUGAAAUUGUGAAGAGAAGAUAUAUUCAGACAUGUUCCUUUUUUGAGGUUGCUUCUGAAGGACGAGUUUUUUGUUGAGAGAAAUACUUUCUUGGCAAAAUGCUGGUUGUCAAAAAAAGGUUUUUGCCAACAGAUCUUAAAAGAGAGAUCUUGAAAGCGAAAUCUUUAUCUAAAGAAGAAAUAAAGAAGAAAUCUUAAUGUAAAAAGAAACAUUGUGUCGCAAGGGAAUGCUCAAAGCCCUUGCUUAUGAUUGGAAGCUUAACCGCGCCACUGAGUAUAUCUCGAGAAGCUGGUCUUUUCUGCUGAUAUUUUUGUUUAUUUUGCACAAGAUAAACAGUGAAUGAUUUGGCCAAUGAGAACG